UACGUAGGGUGCAAGCGUUGUCCGGAAUUAUUGGGCGUAAAGAGCUCGUAGGCGGUCUGUCGCGUCUGCUGUGAAAAACUCAGGGCUUAACCCUGAGCUUGCAGUGGGUACGGGCAGACUAGAGUGCGGUAGGGGAGACUGGAAUUCCUGGUGAUAGCGGUGAAAUGCGCAGAUAUCAGGAGGAACACCGGUGGCGAAGGCGGGUCUCUGGGCA
rnacentral:rRNA from 1 species